rnacentral:RNase_P_RNA from 1 species
CAAGCAAAGAGGGUGAUCGCCGUCCGGGGAGACGAGCGGCUGGCUUCGGCUGGCCGUGCCGCCUGAACCGGAGGGAGGAAAGUCCGAACACUACAGGGCAGCGUGCUUCCUAACGGGAAGGAGGGGCAACCCUACGGAAAGUGCCACAGAAAACAUACCGCCUGGAGCCUGAAAGGGCUCUUGGUAAGGGUGAAAAGGCGAGGUAAGAGCUCACCGCUUCGGCGGCGACGUCGAAGGCAGGGUAAACCCCACGUGGUGCAAGACCAAAUAGGCUCCGCUUGAGCGUGCCCGGCUCUUCCACCCGCGAGGGUGGAGACGGAGCGGGUAGGUCGCUGGAGAACCGGGGUGACCCGGUUCCUAGAGGAAUGAUCGCCACCCUGAAAAGGGGACAGAAUUCGGCUUAUAUCUUUGCUUGCCGG